rnacentral:tRNA from 3 species
GCGGGUAUAUUUUAAUGGUAGAAUUUCGUGCUUCCGACCCGAAGGUGUGGGUUCGAUUCCCACUACCCGCUCCA